rnacentral:ncRNA from 1 species
CAAGACGGUUACAAGGGCGUAUGGCGGAUGGCUCGAGAUAGGAUGGGCGAUGAAGGACGUGGCGUGCCUGCGAAAAGCUUGGGGGAGGUGGCUAGCAACCUUUGAUCCCAAGAUUUCCGAAUGGGGAAACCCCGCGCCGAGAAAUCGGCAUGAUCUUGCAUCUUAAAUGGUGCCGGAAGCGAACCCGCUGAAGUAAAACAUUUCAGUAAGCGGAGGAACAGAGAAUAAUAAUUUAUUCCCUUAGUAGCGGCGAGCGAAAAGGGAAGAGCCCAGAGUUUUUUCCUUUUAGUUAGUUUACUAAUUGAGAAGAAAGAGCAGUAGUAAGUUUAAUCCUAGUCUUUAAUGAUAGGGAGAAUAAAAACAUUAGCAGAACGGUCCUGGAAAGGCCGGCCAAAGAGGGUAAUAGCCCCGUAAACGACAAUGAUUUUUUACUUUCUGGAUUUUACU